rnacentral:rRNA from 1 species
UACGUAGGGUGCGAGCGUUGUCCGGAAUUAUUGGGCGUAAAGGGCUCGUAGGCGGUUUGUCGCGUCGGGAGUGAAAACACCGGGCUUAACUCGGUGCUUGCUUUCGAUACGGGCAGACUAGAGGUAUGCAGGGGAGAACGGAAUUCCUGGUGUAGCGGUGAAAUGCGCAGAUAUCAGGAGGAACACCGGUGGCGAAGGCGGUUCUCUGGGCAUUACCUGACGCUGAGGAGCGAAAGUGUGGGGAGCGAAUGGG